AUUCUCCAAACCUACACGAUCGCAUGCACCAAUUUGCGACCGUAAAUAACAAUGUAUUCACCUGUCCAGGUCCUCCCUUCUUCACGGCGAACACGACAACUACCACGUGUUCGCGAUUUACCGGCCUCUCAAGAUUCGCGAUCGUGCAUGCCUUCACGUGACCACAAAGAACAAAAUUAGGUCUGCCAGCUCAAAGCUUCAUGAUCACGACCUCUUAUUCACGAUCGCGUAAGAGGAAACCAAAACUGAAGAGAACCCAAACUUCAGCAAUUCCUCAAUGAUCCGAAAUGCGCCGAACAUGGUCCGAAUCACACCCGGGCCCCCUAGGACCUCAACCAAGCAUACCAAAAAGUCUUAAAACAUCAUACGAGCGUGCUCGAAGCGUCAAAUCACAUCAAACAACACAAAAAUCACAAAUCGUGCAUCGAUUCAAGCCUAAGAACUUAUGAACUUCUGAAUUUCCGAAACUAAUGUCGAUUCAUAUCAAACCAACUCCGAUUGACCUAAAAUUUUGCACAUAAGUCAUAAUUGACAUUACGGACCUAUUCCAACUUUUGGAAUUAGGAUCCGACCCUGAUAUCAAUAAAGUCCAGUCCCGAUUAAACUUCUCAAAAUUCCACCAAUUUCCAUUUUUUGCCAAAUUACAUUGAAAUGACCUACGAGCCUCCAAAUCAACAUCUAGACGCGCUCCUAUGAAAAAAUCACUAUAUGAGCUAUUGGAAUCAUCAAAACUCCAUUCCGAAGUCAUCUUUAUACAAGUCAAACUAUGGUAAACUCCUACAACUUAAACUUCCAUUUUUGUGGACUAUGUGUCCCAUUUCACUCCGAAAAUCACUCGAAACCAAAACCAAACACCACAGCAAGAUACACAAUCACAUAAAUGAAAUAGAGGAAGCAAUAAAUAGGGGAUUAGAGCUAAUAUACUCAAAACGACCAUCCGGGUCGUGACAUCCUCCCCCUCUUAAAACAAAUGUUCGUCCUCGAAUGAGUAUAGAGACAUACCUGAGGUGAUUAAAAGAUAAGGAUAAUGGCUACGUAUAUCAUGUUCAGUCUCCCAAGUUGCCUCCUCAACUGGUUGACACCUCCACUGAACCUUAACUGAAGCAAUGCCCUUCGACCUCAACUAUCGAACCUGCCUGUCACGACCUAAAACCAAACCAUCGUGAUUGUACCUAUCGUGGAACUAGGAAAGCCAACUACUUAACCAUUUCAACACAGCAAAAGCUUUGAAAAAUACGGAAGCAAUUAAUAUUAAGGAAAACCUUUUAAAAGCAGAAUAAAAUUCAUAACUUAAUACAAAAUCUCUCCCAUAACUGAGGGUAUUACUGAGUACAUAAGCAUCUAUACAGGGAUAUAGCCUAAUACAACAUCUAGAGAAUAAGAACUGAAACAUAAAUGAAGAUAAGGAGGUAGAGUCAAGGUCUACGAAUGACAAGACCGAAAGAUCCGAACUCCGCAAUCGCCGUGACCGAAAGCACCUGGAUCUACACAAAAGGUGCAGGGUGUAGCGUGAGUACAAUCAACUCAAUAAGAAAUAAAUCUAACCUUUGGACUAAAAGUAGUAAUGAACUCAAUUGGUAUAGUUCAAUAUAGAAAUAACAAUGCAGAAAACGUAGACAUGCUUUCAAGUUCAACAGUUAAACUAAAUAUAGUAAGAUAGAUCAAUUUUGAAUGAUGUGAGAAAUAUAACUUCUCUACUUUUACAUGCCAAUGCACAUGUUGUAUGUGAUGCACCAUGCUAAAAUCCUCGUGUUCUCACACUCUCGAAAUGCUCAAUCACUCAGUACAGUAUAUGGCCAAUCCGACACAGGAAAGAUCCAUCCCGGAAAUAUAUACAUCAAUUGAUAGUUAGUCACUUAGUACUAGUGUAACGACCCAGUCGGUCAUUUCGAGAGUUGUAGCUCGUUCCCCUAUUUUCUGCUUCUUUUAUGUUCUACAACUGUAUUAUGACUUAUCGGGUUAGUUGGUUCGGGUCUGGAGUGAGUUCAGAAUGAAUUGAGACACUAGUAUCUUAUUUGAAAACUUAAGUUGGAAAAGUUGGCCGGAUGUUGACUUAUGUGCUAAUGACCUUGGAUUUUAAUUUUGAUGGUUCCGUUAGCUCCGUUAGGUGAUUUUAGACAUAGGAGAGCGUCUGAAUUGUGAUUUGGAGGUCCGUAGUAGAAUUAGGCUUGAAAUAACGAAAGUUGGAAUUUUGAAAAAUUUGACCGAGGGUAGACUUUUUGAUAUCGGGGUCGGAUUGGAUUUUCGGAAGUUGGGGUAGGUUCGUGGUGUCAUUUAUGACUUGUGUGCAAAAUUUGAGGUCAAUUGGACGUGAUUUGAUAGGUUUUGACGUCCUUUGUAGAAUUUGGAAAUUUCAAAGUUCAUUAGGCUUGAAUCCGUGUGUAAUUCAUGUUUUUGACAUUGUUUGAGGUGAUUUGAGGAUUCGACUAAGUUUGUAUCGGGUUAUAAGACUUGUUGGUAUGGUAGGUUGAGGUCCCCAGGGCCUCAGGUUGAUUUUGAGUGGUUAACGGACUUCAUUUUGAGUUGGUGAAACAGCUAAAUUGCUGCUACUACUGGUGUAACCGCACCUGCAGAGUGGGCACCGCAGGUGCGAGCUCGUAGAAGCAUGGCAUGAAUUGCACAAACGGCCAAGAAAGAGUUGGGUAGAGGUCGUAUGUGCGAAGACUUUACCGCACCUGCAAUGGUUGCAGAAGUGGGAAGAAGGGUGCUAAUAAGCUCAAAUUACAAUUAAAUAAAUAGUGUAAGGCGGCCGGUGUCAAAUAUAAUAACCCAACAAGGUUGGGGUCGAAUCCUACAGGGAAUAGGUGUGAAAAGGUUACUUGAAUAGUGUGAAACUUGACUUAAGUAGUAAUUCUACUCCUUUAGCUAAAAAAGAGAAUGUUGUAAUUGUGAAUUAACAAGAUAACUAUUUUGUUAUGAGACAAAUAGGUGUGAAAAGGUUACUUGAAUAGUGUGAAACUUGACUUAAGUCGUAAUUCUACUCCUUUAGCUUAAAAAGAGAAUGUUGUAAUUGUGAAUUAACAAGAUAACUAUUUUGUUAUGAGAGAGUACUUAAUUUGGUUAAGAAAACCAAGGUUGUGUCCUUUUCAAUGGAAUGUAAUGCUAUCGGUGUUAAUAUAAUAUAUUUCUAAUGGAAUGUCCUUUGAUAUGCAAAUGGUUUCUAAGUGACUACCCGAUAUUUUCCAAUAGUUGAGUAGUAUUUUCUCUUUAUGAUUUUCCCAAAUAUAAAAGAGUUGCAACUAAGAAUAACCAAUUUAUGCCAAGUAGAACCCACUUAUUCCUAAGUGAUUCUGUUAAACAAAGUUUAAAGUCUUGAGUUUUUUAUAUUUAAUUCUACCAAACCCUAACCCACUUUUCCAAGUAAAUAUAGAGUGAAAUGGAAUUAGUCAAUGUUUGUAACCACCAACAAUAAACGAAGCAUAAGAAAUGAAUAAAUAUCAACCNNNNNNNNNNNNNNNNNNNNNNNNNNNNNNNNNNNNNNNNNNNNNNNNNNNNNNNNNNNNNNNNNNNNNNNNNNNNNNNNNNNNNNNNNNNNNNNNNNNNNNNNNNNNNNNNNNNNNNNNNNNNNNNNNNNNNNNNNNNNNNNNNNNNNNNNNNNNNNNNNNNNNNNNNNNNNNNNNNNNNNNNNNNNNNNNNNNNNNNNNNNNNNNNNNNNNNNNNNNNNNNNNNNNNNNNNNNNNNNNNNNNNNNNNNNNNNNNNNNNNNNNNNNNNNNNNNNNNNNNNNNNNNNNNNNNNNNNNNNNNNNNNNNNNNNNNNNNNNNNNNNNNNNNNNNNNNNNNNNNNNNNNNNNNNNNNNNNNNNNNNNNNNNNNAUUUUACAAAGAUAGAAGAUUCUCUCUUCAAAAGCUUCCAAAAUAAUGGUGUAUUCAAUGCCUUCAAUGUAGCCUCUUUUUCAGACAAGAUAACCCACAAAACCCUAGUAAAUCUAUUUAUAAUGGGCCAAAAGUUGGGGUCAAAUUUAGUAAAAAAUGCCCCUGUAGAACAUAUCUGCGACCGUAAAAUGGGUCGCAGAUCAUGUAUGCAGUUCGCAGAAAUGCAAAGUCACCACAUAAUUGCACGCCUAUUUGACCAUUUCCCCAUCGCAAAUCCAUUAUGCGGUGCGCAUAUUGCUUAUGCGACCGUAGACUACAUCGCAGAAGUGCUCUCGCAGAAUCUCCUUUCGCAGUUAUGCGACCAUUAUGUGGUCCACAGAAGCGUUAUGCGACCGCAUAAUAGACCACAUAUUUCUUUCCUCAAGAACUGGACCACCUGCUUCAGUCUGCAGUUGGUUUGUGGCUCACAUAUCACUUUUGCGAUCGCAGACCUGCCACAUUUCUACCCUUCUAUGGAUUUUUGUCUUCUUUUCCGUGUUCUUGGUUCUUAAAGUUUGGUACACUACAAAACACCAAAACUUCAUAAGAAAUAACUAAAAAUACUUUAAAAGACGAGCUAAAGUCUAUGUAAUUAGUAUCAAAAGUGCCAAAAUUCUGCGGCACAUCAAUACCCCCAACUUAGACUCUUGCUUGUCCUCAAGCAACUAAAACAAAAUCAUCCUAUCAUACACUACUCUAUUUCUGAUAGAUCACAAAAUAGCAGUGAUUGUAGAUGGUGUUGACUGUCAGCUAACAAACAUGUAACUUCUUUUGUUCACCCUUUGUGGAAGACAACAAUCAUUUAGCAAUUCUGCCAAUUAACUUGUAAACUUUGAGCCUCAAGCAAAAGGACAGAAUGCUACCCACAACUAAGGGUGCACUUGUAUCCUACUUCAAGAACCUAACUUUUUCUAAAUCGUGCAAUUCAUGCGUGCUCACAACAAUGAAAAUCCCCAGCUCACAAGUAUGUACAGGGGAUACAAUCAAACACUCUUGCACUCAGAAAGAAAUCUAAAUGCUAACUAGUAUCAUUCCACAUGCUUGCCCUUAUUUUAACUCGUUGCUAUCUCAUGAAUAAUUGGUUGUAGAUCACCAAGGACUUUUCAUGGGUCGUAGUGUAGGCUUCAGGACGGGUUGGACGAAUAUUUGGGAAUGUAGUGGCUAUACCCUCCUUGAACUUCUACAUACACUUUGCUUCUUUACCACAUAGCACUUAUUGGCCUCGAGUUACCAACAUAGAACCACCUCAAAGUAUUUCUUCAGUUUUCACAACACUCCACUCCAUUUCUCUCUUUUUUUUAAUAUAUAUACAAAUGUUUUUGUUUUUUUCCUUUGGAUCUUGAGUAUCUUCAUAUAUACAACUUUGAGUUUUUUUUUCUUUUUUCUUCUACACACAUUAGGCAACCUUACCAAUUUUCACUUAACACCGACACCUACAACUUAGGAUUUUACCUCAUUCUUAAUCGUUCAAGGAUGGAUGGGUUCAAAAGAGGGAAUAUUUCACAAAGGGGUAAAGGUUUGUAAUGUGGUAGCCAAAUAAAAGAUUAAAGGCUCAACGGAGGUAACUAGGGUAAUUGAUGUGCUAAGGAGGUCAAUUUGGUCAAAAUUAGCUAGCAAUCACAAAGAGAGACUAAGAUCAUUUCAACACCCAAUCAUUAACCUAAGAGUUGCAUUAAGAAACCAACUGGACAAGUUCUAUACAUUACAAGUUAAGCAUAUGCAUUAUUUAUACAAAUCCUCACUCACUCACAAUGCAUGAACUAUUCAACUCAACAUAAUUUCAACCCCCAAGUGAAUGCAAGUCAACUCAAAGCUUCAUCGCAUGAUAUUUGAGAUUCUGAGUAAGCAUAAAUUCAAAGAGCGAGCCUCGAGUUCUCAAGAAUGACUAACGGUUUAUUUACAAAAUUAGAAGAGUGCAAUUUAUUCAACAAAAACUUAUCACAUACUUGAAGCUAGAACAACAACACCAAACAAGUCAACAUGUUUUGUGCUACUGCCAUGGUCCCCUUUUGGAAAAGAACCCGGCGAAGAAAAACCAAGGGGGAUUCAUUGCUAUCUACAAAUGUACACUAUUAAAGUAAAGAUUUUAUAUACAAGUUUUACAUAAAUAAUUUGACUACCCCACCCCAACCAAAAAACAUGCAUUGUCCCCAAUGCAUUGAGAAAGUAAGAGCAAAGUUUAGGGGCUUCUUGGGGCGAACUAGGCGCUAGGAGGGGCUGGAACAUCCAAGGCAGUUGUGGGGUCAGAUGUUGGCAUUGCGGAAGCAACAAGUGGAACCUCGAACUAUGUGGUGGUGUCUAAGGAUAGAAUAGGAAGCUCCACCUACUGUGAAGCUAGGUUUGGGGUCUGGGAGUUGCUAGCCUCACCCAAUGAUGACUAUGUGGUCGAAUGAGUGUCUUUUGCGACCAUAUCUGCAAAUGAGUGCGCAAUGGCUUUCUGCACAUCUAUUGCCUCCUCAUCCGGUGUCUCUGUAGAAACAUCCAUCUGUUUGCCUUUGUCGUCCCGCUGACCAUCAUCCUCUUCAAGUAACCACUCCUCAUCAGUUUCCUCUUUAUCAGUGUCCUCCUUAGACCCUUCAGAUUUCUCUUCUAAAUGAUCAUCUAUGUGCACAACAGGGCCCAAAGCCUAUGAAGAGGCCUGUGAGGCCUUAGUACCGUGGAUCACCUUAGUGGCCACCUCAUCUGACAUGAGGUUUCUGAAAUCAAGGUCAAGGCUAGGAAUCUGGGAGGUACCAGUGACCUGCUCCCAUGCCCCCAGAAGAAGUAAAGCAAAAUCAAACUCCAGGUUUUGCAUUUUAAGCAGUUCUGACUUUAGCUCAGCUACAUCCUUUUUGAGUUGAGGCCUGUCCCCAACUUCGCCUCACUCAACCCUCUCAAGGUGCACUUCAAAGUGCUUGGGUCGAUCCUCAUAAGACAGAUGUUGUUUUUGAAGAUCAGUGACUGAGGUUUGGAUAGAGGCCAAAGCUUGCCUGAUGAGAUAUGGAAGUUCUUUCAUCAAUUUGUCUAUUCUGGCAUUUGCAUGUUGUGCCAGUAGACCAAGCUUUGAGAUUACAGGAAAUGAGGCAGGUAGUGGUGCAAUGGCUGGUCUAGGAGUGGAUGUGGAAGUGGCUGGUAUGGAAGGAGUGUAUGAUGCGGUAGUAGGUGCUGCUGAGGCUGGAGGAGAAGUGAUUGAAGGCUUUGUUGGAUUGUUGACCACUGUAUAUGCAACAUUAUUUAUCCGGGUGAUGUCGAUAUCCUGAACAAUUGUUUCUAUGAGAUCAUGUUAGGGGAUAAGAGGAACCGUUACAGUUUUACACAAGGCAUGGAAAAGGGAGCUAAGUUGUUGUAUGGUUCGCCCGGAUCGCAAUUUCACGGUAUAUAAUCUAUCCUACAUCAACCUUGAUGCCAGUCAUGAUUCAUACAAUGAGGAUUACCUUCUCGAUGCUUAUGUCUGUUUCAUUCCUUGAGGGCAUUAGACGGGAACAGACAAAACUUAGCCAGUACCAACCUUCUUGGGUAAGAUCCCUCUUGUAGAUCAUUUGGCGCGGUGCAUUCCAGAGAGAAUUUCCCUUGGCUAUGACAGAGGCUACCCAAGCAUGCUUAGAUUCCUUGUUUUUAAUCUUUUCAUCAUAUUCUGCGGUGCCUGGCUCCCAAUCCUCAAAGUAUACAUCAAUGAUUGAUCCAGCAUCACAGAGGACUUCAACACCGUGAACUAAAACAGAGUCCAGGAACCUAUAGUUUCUCUUUUGUUCUGCGUUCCUGGAUGAAGCAUAGGCAACAUAGAAUUCCCUCGUGAGUGUUUCGUUGUACUCUCCUGGGACUUGACUGAAGGACUUCCACCACCUCUUUUUGAUGUUUUCUAGUACAUGGGUAUAGUGUUCUUUUAAGCUGUUCAAGUUGAGCUUCUUUUCUUGAAGGAUUUUUCUCUUUCCUAAGCCUUCCCUAUACAGGGUCCAAGAGCCGAAAACCCCAAACCUAAGAUCUUCAUCACUUUUUUGGCGUGCUUCAACAUGGAGGUCAACAGGUAGCACAAGAUCAGUCUGUGCCUCAUCCUCUUUAGACUGGGAAGAAUGCUCAGAUAUCCUUCUGGCUAUGUCAGGCCGGGUGCGUUUGGAUUGUUGUGUUAGUGGGUGAGUAGUUGAUAUAGCAUGAGAAACAUAUUAAGAGAAUUUAAAGGAACCAAGAAAUAUUUACGAGGAGUUAUGAGAGAAGGGGUUUAUUAGGCCUAGUGUGUCCCCCUAGGGUGCGACGGUUCUGUUUAUGUAGAAAAAGGAUGGCUCUAUGCGGAUGUGCAUUGAUUAUAGGUAGUUGAAAAAAGUCAAAAUCAAGAGCAAGUAUCCUUUGUCGUGUAUUGAUCACCCAUUUGACCAGCUUCAGGGAGCAAGGGUGUUCUCCAAGAUUUAUUUGAGGUCAGGGUAUCACCAAAUUUAAGAUUUGGGACUCGGAUAUUCUUAAGACAACUUUCAGGACCCGUUAUGGUCAUUAUGAGUUCCUUAUGAUGUCUUUUGGGCUGACCAAUGCCCCAACAACGUUCAUACAUCUGAUGAAUAGUGUGUUUUAGCCUUAUCUUGACUCAUUUGUUAUUGUAUUAAUUGAUGAUGUCCUGGUGUAUUCUCGUGGCCAGGAUGAGCAUGCCCAACAUUUGCGUAUCGUGUUGCAGCGGUUGAGGGAGGAGAAACAUUAUGUUAAGUUCUCCAAGUGUGAUUUCUGGCUCAUUUCUGUGGCAUCUUGGGGCACGUAGUCUAGUGAGGGUAUUCAGGUAGAUCCAAAGAAGAUAGAGGCAGUUCAGAUUUGGUCCAAACCGUCCACAACUACAGAAAUUCAGAGCUUUCUUGGGUUGGCUGGUUAUUACCGCCGGUUCGUGCAGGAUUUCUCGUCUAUUGCAUUGCCUUUGACCAAAUUGACCCAAAAGGUUGCUCCUUUUAGGUGGUCGGAUGAGUGUGAGGAGAGCUUUCAGAAGCUCAAGGCUGCCUUGACCACAACUCCAGUUCUAGUUCUAGCAUCAGCUUAUGGUUUUUAUAUAGUAUAUUGUGAUGCUUCUCGUAUCAGUAUUUGGUGUGUUUUGAUGCAACAGGGUAGAGUGAUUGCUUAUGCUUCAUGCUAGUUGAAGCCCCAUGAGAAUAACUAUCUUGUUCAUGACUUGGAGUUGACUGCCAUUGUUCAUGCAUUGAAGAUUUGGAGGCACUAUCUCUAUGGUGUGUCUUGUGAGGUAUUUACCGAUCAUCGUAGCCUCUAGCACUUGUUAAAAUAGAAGGAUCUCAAUUUGAGGCAGCGGAGAUGGUUGGAGCUACUAAAAGACUGUGAUAUUACUAUUAUGUAUCAUCCAGGAAAGGUCAAUGUGAUGGUCGAUGCCUUGAGUAGGACGGCAGUGAGUAUGGGUAGUUUUGCAUUCAUUCUUGUAGGGGAGAUGCCUCUUGCAGUUGAUGUUCAGGCUUUGACCAACCAGUUCAUGAGAUUUCGGAGCCAAAUCGGGUUCUAGCUUAUGUGGUUUCUCGGUCUUCCUUAUUUGAUCGCAUCAGAGAGCGCUUGUAUGAUGACACUCAUUUGCUUGUCCUCAAGGACAAGGUUCAACACGAUGAUGCCAUAGAUGUAACUAUUGGAGAUGAUAGGGUAUUGAAGAUGCAAGGAUGGAUAUGUGUGCCUAAUGUAGAUGGGCUACGGGUGUUGAUUCUUGAGGAGGACCACAGCUCGCGGUAUUCCAUCCAUCUGGGUGUCGCAAAGAUAUACUAAUACCUGAGGCAGCACUAUUGGUGGAGGAGAAUGAAGAAGGAUAUAGUUGGAUUUGUAGCUCGGUGUCUCAACUAUCAGCAAGUAAACUAUGAGCAUCAUAGACGGGGUGGAUUUCUUCAAAAGAUAGAGAUUCCAGAGUGGAAGUAGGAGCGGAUCACCAUGGAUUUUGUAGUUGGGCUCCCAUGUACUUCGAGGAAGUUUGAUGCUAUUUGGGUGAUUGUGGAUCGGUUGACCACGUUCACGUACUUCAUUCCUAUGAGUACUACUUAUUCUUCAUAUCGGUGCACUGAGAUUUACAUUAGAAAGAUUGUUCGCCUACACGGUGUGCCAGUUUCCACUAUCUUAUAUAGAGUCAUACAGUUUGCAUCGCAAUUUUGAAGAGCCGUGCAGCGAGAGUUGGGCACUCAGGUUGAGUUGAGCACAACAUUUAACCCUCAGAUAGACGGACAGUCCGAGCGCACUAUUCAAAUAUUGGAGGACAUGCUACGCGUUUGUCAUUGAUUUCGGGGGUUCAUGUUUCUGACGCUCGCGGAAUUUGCUUACAACAACAAUUAUCAGUCGAGUAUUAAGAUGGCUCCGUAUGAGGCUUUAUAUGGGAGGUAGUGUAGAUCUCCAGUAGGUUGGUUUGAGUCGGCGAGGCUAGACUAUUGGGUACUGACUUGGUUCAUGAUGCUUUGGACAAGGUUAAAUUGAUUCAGGAGUGGCUUCACAUGACAGUCAAGACAAAAGAGUUAUAUUGAUAGAAAGGUUCGUGAUGUGUCUUACAUGGUUAGGGAGAAGGUUCUGCUGACGGUUUCACCAAUCAAGGGUGUUAUGAGCUCGGUUCAUUGGGCCUUUUGAGGUACUUUAGAGGAUUGGGAAGGUGACUUACAAGCUUNNNNNNNNNNNNNNNNNNNNNNNNNNNNNNNNNNNNNNNNNNNNNNNNNNNNNNNNNNNNNNNNNNNNNNNNNNNNNNNNNNNNNNNNNNNNNNNNNNNNNNNNNNNNNNNNNNNNNNNNNNNNNNNNNNNNNNNNNNNNNNNNNNNNNNNNNNNNNNNNNNNNNNNNNNNNNNNNNNNNNNNNNNNNNNNNNNNNNNNNNNNNNNNNNNNNNNNNNNNNNNNNNNNNNNNNNNNNNNNNNNNNNNNNNNNNNNNNNNNNNNNNNNNNNNNNNNNNNNNNNNNNNNNNNNNNNNNNNNNNNNNNNNNNNNNNNNNNNNNNNNNNNNNNNNNNNNNNNNNNNNNNNNNNNNNNNNNNNNNNNNNNNNNNNNNNNNNNNNNNNNNNNNNNNNNNNNNNNNNNNNNNNNNNNNNNNNNNNNNNNNNNNNNNNNNNNNNNAUGUUUAUAUGCUCCAAAAGUAUAUCAGCGAUCCGACUCAUGUUUUGGAUUUCAGCACGGUUUAGUUGGACGGUGAUUUGACUUAUGAUGUGGAUCCGGUGGCUAUUUUGGAGCGGUAGGUCCGAAAGUUGAGGUCAAAGGAUAUAGAAUCAGUGAAAGUGCAUUGGAGAGGUUAGCCUCAUCGAGCGAGAGAUGCAGAGCUGAUAUCCACACCUAUUUAUGGCUCCAGGUAUGUUUCUAGACCCGUUCAAGGAUGAGCAUUUGUUUAAAAGGGGGAGGAUGUAACGACCCGGCCAGUCAUUUCGAGAGUUGUCGCCCUGUUCCCCCAUUUUCUACUUCUUUUGUGUUCUACAACUGUAUUAUGACUUAUCGGGUUAGUUGGUUCUAUUCUGGAGUGAGUUCAGAACGAAUUGAGACACUUAGUCUCUUAUUUGAAAGCUUAAGUUGGGAAAGUUGACCCUUCAAACAACCUCAGAUUUGAAUUUUGAUGGUUUCGUUAGCUCCGUUAGGUGAUUUCAAACUUAUGAGUGUGUCUGGAUUAUGAUUUGGAGGUCUAUAGUAGAAUUAGGCAUGGAAUACCGAAAGUUGUAAUUUUGGAAAGUUUGACGGGGGAUGGACUUUUUGAUAUCGGGGUCGGAUUGGAUUUCCGGAAGUUGGAAUAGGUUUGUGGUGUCAUUUAUGACUUGUGUGCUAAAUUUGAGGUCCAUCGGAUGUGAUUUGAUAGGUUUUGACGUCAUUUGUAGAAUUUGAAAAUUUCAAAGUUCAUUAGGCUUGAAUCCGUGUAUAAUUCAUGUUUCUGAUAUUGUUUGAGGUGAUUUGAGGAUUCAACUAAGUUUGUAUCGGGUUGUAAGACUUGUUGAUAUGGUUGGUUAAGGUCCAAGAGCCUAGGGUUGAUUUUGGGUGGUUAACAGAAUUGAUUUUGCGUUGGUGAAGCAGCUGAAAUGUUGUUGCUACUUGUGUAACCGCACCUGCGGAGUGGGCACCGUAGGUGCGAGCCCGCAGAAGCGUGGAAUGAAUCGCAGAAGAGGCCAAGUAAGAGUUGGGCAGAGGUCGCAGGUGCGAAGACUUUUCCGCACCUGCGAUGAUCAUAGAAGCAGGCAGAACAGCGCAAAUGCGAGAUUGAUCCGCAUGUGCGAUGUGAUUUCCACACCUGCAAUGUCCGCAGAUGCAGUCUACUGAUCGCAGAAGCGGAGGCAGCUAGAUAAGUGACUUUCGCAGAAGUUGGAAUUUAACCGUAGAAGCGGUCCCGCAUGAGCGGAUAAAUGGCCGCAGGUGCGAAAAGCCUGGGCAAAAUGAUUAAAAACAAGGGUUCACAAUUUUAGUCUCAUUUCAACAUUUUGGACUCGGACUUGGGCGAUGUUGGAGAGGAUUUUCAAGGGGAUUAUUGAGUUAAGCUUCUUGUACUCAUUUUUUAUCAUAAAUCUCAUUUCGUCAUAGUUUUUCCCACCUAGAUUGUGAGGUGUUGAGGUGAAAUGUGGGGGUUUGAGGCUAGGGAUUUGGAAAGUUAUUUUUGGGGAUUUGAAGGACCAUUUGAUGUCGGAUUUUGAUAAAUUUGGUAUGGUUAGACUCGUGAGUGAAUGGUCUUUCAGGUUUUGUGACUUUUUUUGGAUUUCAAGACGUGGGCCCCAAGGCCGGGUUUGAGCCGAUUUCGGAUUUUUGGCUAUGAUUUAGUACUUUUCUUAUGGAAUUGAUCCCUUUAGCCUAUAUUGAUUGUAUUGUACUACUUGUGGCUAGAUUCAGGACGUUUGGAGGCCGAUUUGAUAGGCAAAGGUAUUUCAGGGUAUAGAUUUGCUCGGUUUGAGGUAAGUAACGCUUUCAAACUUGGUUCUGAGGGUUUGAAAAUGUAUUAUAUGAUUGGUAUUGAGGUGGCGCACAAGCCAAGUGAAGGGCGUGCGGGCGUACAUCGAGAGAAUUGUGACCUGGUUGAUUCCAUGACAUUGUAUAGUGACUCUAUCUUUUUGAUAUCCGUGUUUUCAUCAUGCGAUAAAGUAAUUGAGUUGCCAAUCAUGUUAGAUAUCAUGUUUAGGAUUUAUGCCGGUACUGUUGUGACCCCUAGUGGUCGUUUCUUGCUGUCAUCUCACUAAUUUCAUUGAUAUUAUGUACUUGGUCAUGUUCAUGCAUUUUAUAUCAUAUCUCAGUCUCGGUUGUUAUUUAUUGAUACAUCAUAUCAUUGUUUCGGGCUAGUUUUCAUGACAUUGUGAGCCCAUGAGUGAUAUUGGAGAGAUUGGUGACUGAGUAAGGCCGAGAGCCUGAUUAUGAGUGACAGUUAUGGGAUCGGGCUGCACGCCACAAUGGUUAUACUGAUAGUUCUUAUUGAUAUUUGGUAAUGUGAUUCAUUUUACACUUACAUAUGUGCCAGAUACCCAAAUGGGGGUAGAAAAUUUUCUUUGUUUUGUCUUUUUUAUUGAAGUCAGGAGCCCACCUGGAGAGCAGAGAAUACAUUCAAGUUUAACAGUCAGGAGCCUGUCUGGAGAGCAGGGAAUACAUUCCAAGUUUAGCAAUGAGGAGCCCACCUGGUGAGCAGGGAAUACAUUUCAAGUUCAGCAGUCAAGAGCCCGCCUGGAGAGCAGGGAAUACAUUUCAAGUUAGCAGUCAGGGGCCCUGUCUGGAGAAAGGGUCAGUUUUUUCUUUAAUCAAGCUUAGUUUAUAGUUUUCCUAGUCUAUUCUUUAGUUUACUUUCAUCAUUGCAUCAAUAGUACAAGUGGUUUACAAUUUUGCUAACAACUCACAAAUCUUCCCAGUGCAAACUGGGGCAGAAAAAUUUCUUUGUUUUGUCUAUUUUGUUGUAAUUAGGCGCCACCUGGAGAACAAGGGGAGACAACUCAAGUUUCUAGGGAAAGCAAUGUCGAAGGAAGACAACUCGAGUUUCAAGGGAAAGCAGUUUCAAAGGAAGACAGUUCAAGUUUCAGGGGAAAAUGGUUCAAAGUGCAAGGGAGAACAGUGUCAAGUAACAAGAGAAGGCGGUUCAAGUUCAGCAAUCAGGCUCCCACCUGGGAAAAAAGGGAAUUCAAUUCAGAAUGCAAUUCAGGUCAUUAAUAAAAAAAGCUCGCGUCAAGAAUGCGAGUCAGCAGUCCUAGAUGAUCAACAGAAGUUAGUCACAAUAAAGGGAAAAAAGAGAAAGGCAACAAGUUAAUCCAAAUGCAAAAGUUGAUGAAGAAUGUGAGCUGUCCAAGACAUGGCCGAGGUCACAAGCACUACAUGUCCGGUCUUGAUCCAAAAAUCUGAAGAAGAACGAGCUAGCACCUGCAACUAGCAAGUGUUAAGGUUCAAAUCCAAAGUCUGCAUGAAGAACCACUCAAGACUCAAGAUCAAGCUUCAGAAGACUAUAGAUAGGAAUCUUGUAACUCGUAGUUUAUAGGCUUAGCUAGUCUUUCUCAUGUUUUGAUUUUUGAUGUAAUAACAGGACUGUGGACCGGAACCUCGGCAAAACGGCACCUCAACCGGCUCUCUACCUUGGUAUACUCCAUCACCUCAUUCACCUCUGAACUACACGUGACCUGAAUCCUUUAUAGCCAAGGAUAUAUAGGCAGCUCAGAUACUAGAGCUCGGUCACAUUCCCCUCUCUCUUAGUUUUAGUUUCUUCAAAUAAGGGUUGGGUCAAAAAACUUGUCUGGUCAUUCUUUGUCUGAAAAUACUACGUCUUUCCAGUCAAAGAGGGGCAGCUGUAGACAUGUGAUUUUUUACCCUCCCCAAGAUUUUUCAUAUUUUAGCGCGUAAAUAUUUAAUUUAGGCAUAAUAUAGAUAUUUUAAGUUAUUUUGACUCUUUUACUUUAUUUUAUUAUAAGAAAACAAAAAUAGGUUCAUUAAUGUUUUGUAGUCAUUUUUAAUCUUAAAAAAAUACAAAAAUAGUAUCAUAUUUUUAUUUUAAUAUGAUAUUUGAAAAUACCAAAAAUAGAUUUGUUUUAAUGGUUAGUUUUAUUUUAAUAAUUAUUUGAAUAGUAGGAUUAAUUGAUAAAUGGGAUCGUAUUUUUAAUCUCGUUCGCAGGGAAAGAAUAGAACUUGGGCUCAAGCAACCCAUUUUAGGCCUAAUUUUGGACCUAGCCCAUAAUUCCUAGGCCCAUACCCCUUAACCUAAAAACCCUACAACUAUCUAGACCUAGACUCUACACUAUAAAAGAAUGCCUAAGACUAAAGAAAAAAGAGAGGAUGGAUAAAAAGAAAAGCUAAAGCUGCGCAGCUUUUGGACAAACCCCUUUCCCCUGAAGGUCUUCUUCUUCGACCAUUCCCCAUCUUUUUCUCAAUUUUCCUUCAGCAGCGAAAAACCCAAACAGUGACCCUUAAACGUUAAUCACCAAACGAUCCCUGAUAUCAUCUCCUUCACCCCCGUCAGCCACGCCGCCAGUCCGCCGGAAAAUACAGCUCCCAUCCAUCGAGCAGCUCGUCUUCUUACUUAGCUGAAUGACGACCCCCUAUGAACCUUGAGCUUUUGUUCUUCAUCUGUUGAAACUAAAAACCACCGAGCUUCAGCCGAACCUAGACCUAGAUGAACACAAAAGAGACCUAAUGCCUAGACACUACAAAGAGAUCAGGCGCAGAACCAAAAGAGACACCGAUCUGCUGCAGAACACCAAAUGACCCCCAUCGAUCCCCAUUCCCAUUGCCGCUACUCCUACUUCUUUCCGGUUACUUCUGCGCCGGAAGGUGAUAGUUCUGGCGAAAAAAUCCGGCGACCACCAUUGAAACCGACGAACACACACACACACAUGCAAGGGACAGGAAACGGGCAGAACAAAACAAACUAUAUAACAAAAGGAGAUUCGGAGUGAGUUCGUCGUUCGAGUCGUCGAGGUCAAGUUUUUCGACGUGGUCUUUGUUUAACGGGUUUAUUCGACGUUGCGAUUAAGGUCCAGAUGCCUAGUAUGUAGCUCGCUCGGAGAUUGUGCGGUCUUAGAGCUUUAUUUUCAUUAUAUUUGCUCCAGAAUUUCAAUAAUAGAAGGUCACUUCUUCCAUUUCAUUCUUCUUCUGCUGCUUUGUUUCUGUGACAAAUCUUGUCAAGCUAUCAAUGUGCUAACCUAAAAUAUAUUUGUUUUUGCUGGAAAAGCUCAAGUAAAAUUCAAAAUCCGCGUAUAUGCUACGAUAUGCUGUGGCUUUCGAGUUUUAUUUACGUUUUAGUUUCAGCUCCAUUAUACUGUUUCUAGCUCUUGAAUUUAAAAAUGGCAAUUGGAAUUAUGUUUUGACUCUGUUGUGCCGUGGAUGGAAUGGUGUUUGAAAAUUUUUGGUUUCUUAUGUCAAAAAG
rnacentral:lncRNA from 1 species